rnacentral:rRNA from 1 species
ACUACAUGUACAGGAUAGGUGGGAGGCUUUGAAACCAGGACGCCAGUUUUGGCGGAGCCAUCCUUGGGAUACCACCCUUGUAGUACUGGGACUCUAACCAUAGGCCAUGAAUCUGGUCUUGGGACACGGUCAGGUGGGCAGUUUGACUGGGGCGGUCGCCUCCCAAAAGGUAACGGAGGAGCCCACAGGUUCUCUCAGGACGGGCGGAAAGCGUACGCGGAGUGGAAAGGCAAAAGAGAGCUUGAUUGCAAGACAUACAGGUCGAGCAAGGAUGAAAAUCGGACUUAGUGAUCCGGUGGUUCUGCGUGGA